rnacentral:rRNA from 1 species
GACGUAGGGCGCGAGCGUUGUUCGGAUUUACUGGGCGUAAAGGGCGCGUAGGCGGCUUAACAAGUCACUUGUGAAAUCUCCGGGCUUAACUCGGAACGGCCAAGUGAAACUGUCAAGCUAGAGUGCAGAAGGGGCAAUCGGAAUUCUUGGUGUAGCGGUGAAAUGCGUAGAUAUCAAGAGGAACACCUGAGGUGAAGACGGGUUGCUGGGCUGACACUGACGCUGAGGCGCGAAAGCCAGGGGAGCAAACGGG